GGGAAUCUACCCAUCUCUGCGGAAUAGCUCCGGGAAACUGGAAUUAAUACCGCAUACGCCCUACGGGGGAAAGAUUUAUCGGGGAUGGAUGAGCCCGCGUUGGAUUAGCUAGUUGGUGGGGUAAAGGCCUACCAAGGCGACGAUCCAUAGCUGGUCUGAGAGGAUGAUCAGCCACAUUGGGACUGAGACACGGCCCAAACUCCUACGGGAGGCAGCAGUGGGGAAUAUUGGACAAUGGGCGCAAGCCUGAUCCAGCCAUGCCGCGUGAGUGAUGAAGGCCUUAGGGUUGUAAAGCUCUUUCACCGGUGAAGAUAAUGACGGUAACCGGAGAAGAAGCCCCGGCUAACUUCGUGCCAGCAGCCGCGGUAAUACGAAGGGGGCUAGCGUUGUUCGGAAUUACUGGGCGUAAAGCGCACGUAGGCGGAUAUUUAAGUCAGGGGUGAAAUCCCAGAGCUCAACUCUGGAACUGCCUUUGAUACUGGGUAUCUUGAGUAUGGAAGAGGUAAGUGGAAUUGCGAGU
rnacentral:rRNA from 1 species